UUUCCCGCAGAAACCUGGCGACUCCGCCCGGAAAGGUCGCCGUCGCUGUCAGGGCGGCCACCUUGGCCUUUCUUGGUCGCUGGUCCUGCUCCAACGGAGGCCGUCGAUGCUACGGUUACUUCUCUCCGCUGCUCCUCGUCGUGUUUAGGGUCUCCACUCCAGACUACGGAUCCUUGUCGCUACAGAGCCUCAGUUGAUGGCAACACACUUUGCUCUGUGAUGGAACGGCUUACCCAGAAACCUGGCUUGGCUUUGGGGAAGCUGCUGAGGUUCCUGGCCUGGCUCACGUCAUUCACUAAAGAUUGUUGAGUCCCUACAGCAUGUCGCUCCUGCUGUCACUCUGGAUAGGUGCCAUCGAAUCGGUGCACCCCAUGUACAACAGUGGGACGCUGCCAGGUUUGAGCCCACCGUUGCAGCCGAGUGGUGUCACUGCAUCUUGUUGGAGGUCUUCCUCUUUUGUCACUGACCCUCUGCCAAGCAUGAUGUCAUUCUCCAGGGACUCCUAAUAACCUCUCCAAUGUACAAGACGAGAUCUCACCAUCUCUGCUUUCAAGGAGCGUUCUGCUGUACUUCUUCCAAGACAGAGUUGAUCCUUCUGCUGUCGGUCCAUGUGAUAUUCAGUACUGUUCGUCAGUAAUAUAAUUCAAAGACACCAA